rnacentral:rRNA from 1 species
UACAGAGGGUGCGAGCGUUAAUCGGAAUUACCGGGCGUAAAGCGUGCGUAGACGGUUAUUUAAGUCGGAUGUGAAAGCCCCGGGCUCAACCUGGGAAUUGCAUUCGAGACUGAAUAGCUAGGGUACGGUAGAGGGAAGUGGAAUUUCCGGUGUAGCGGUGAAAUGCGUAGAUAUCGGAAGGAACAUCAGUGGCGAAAGCGACUUCCUGGACCAGUACCGACGUUCAGGCACGAAAGCGUGGGGAGCAAACAGG